rnacentral:tRNA from 1 species
UCCCUGGUGGUCCAGUAGCUAAGACUUCAUGCCUGCAGUGCAGGGGGUCUAGGUUCAAUUCCUGGUCAGGGAA